rnacentral:rRNA from 1 species
CAAUAGUGUAUAUUAAAGUUGUUGCAGUUAAAAAGCUCGUAGUUGAAUGUUGGUGUCGAACGAGCGGUCAGCUUCGGCUGUACUGCUCUCUCGACUCCUUCCUUCUGUGGACUACGUCGCACUUUACUGUGUGGCGCUAGGACGCAGAUCGUUUACUGUGAAAAAAUUAGAGUGUUCAAAGCAGGCCGUACGCUUGAAUACAUUAGCAUGGAAUAAUGGAAUAGGACGUCGGGCCUAUUUUGUUGGUUCUAGGACCGUCGUAAUGAUUAAUAGGGACAGUUGGGGCCGUUUAUAUUCCGUAGUCAGAGGUGAAAUUCUUGGAUUUACGGAAGAUAAACUACUGCGAAAGCAUUCGGCAAGGAUGUUUUCGUUAA